rnacentral:rRNA from 1 species
UACAGAGGGGGCAAGCGUUGUUCGGAAUUACUGGGCGUAAAGGGCGCGUAGGCGGCCUUCUAAGUCGAACGUGAAAUCCCCGGGCUCAACCCGGGAACUGCGUCCGAUACUGGAAGGCUUGAAUCCGGGAGAGGGAUGUGGAAUUCCAGGUGUAGCGGUGAAAUGCGUAGAUAUCUGGAGGAACACCGGUGGCGAAGGCGGAACAUCCUGGGACCCGGGUAUUGACCGCUGAGGGCGCGAAAGCCAGGGGGAGCAAAGCGGGGAUUAAGCAUGACCCUUGUAGUCCCAGAGCCAAACUCGUCUCGUGA